UCGAACGAGAAAGUGGAGCAAUCCAUGAGUAAAGUGGCGACCGGGUGAGUAACACGUGACUAACCUACCCUAGAGUGGGGAAUAACCUCGGGAAACCGGGGCUAAUACCGCAUAACAUCACAGAGGGAAGAUCUUUGUGAUCAAAGGAGAUAAUUCGCUCAAGGAGGGGGUCGCGGCUGAUUAGUUAGUUGGUGAGGUAACGGCUCACCAAGACUUAUAUCAGUAGCCGGCCUGACAGGGCGCACGGCCACACUGGAACAGAAACACGGUCCACACUCCUACGGAAGGCAGCACUGGGGAAUUUUGCGCGAUGGGGGAAACCCUGACGCACCAACACCGCGUGGAGGAUGAAGUCCCUUGGGAUGUAAACUCAUUUCGAUCGGGACGAUAAUGACGGUACCGGAAGAAUAAGCACCGGCUAACUCUGUGCCAGCAGCCGCGGUAAUACAGAGGGUGCAAGCGUUGUUCGGAAUUAGUGGGCGUAGAGGGUGCGUAUGCGGUGCGGUAAGUCUGUAUUGAAAUCUCUGGGCUCAACUCAAAGACUGCUAUAGAAACUGCUGUGCUCGAGUGCGGGAGAGGUGAGUGGAAUUCCCGGUGUAGCGGUGAAGUGCAUGGAUAUCGGGAGAGACAGCUGUGGCGAAAGCGGCUCACUGGACCACAACUGACGCUGAUGCACGAAAGCUAUGGGAGCAAACAGGAUUACAUACCCUGG
rnacentral:rRNA from 1 species